UGAGGGAAUAUUGGGUCAAUGGACGAGAGUCUGAACCAGCCAAGUAGCGUGCAGGAUGACGGCCCUCCGGGUUGUAAACUGCUUUUAGUUGGGAAUAAAAAAGGUGACGUGUCAUCUAUUGUAUGUACCAUCAGAAAAAAGGACCGGCUAAUUCCGUGCCAGCAGCCGCGGUAAUACGGAAGGUCCGGGCGUUAUCCGGAUUUAUUGGGUUUAAAGGGAGCGUAGGCUGUCUUUUAAGCGUGUUGUGAAAUACUGUCGCUCAACGACAGAGGUGCAGCGCGAACUGGGAGACUUGAGUGCGCGGAAUGCAGGCGGAAUUCGUCGUGUAGCGGUGAAAUGCUUAGAUAUGACGAAGAACUCCGAUUGCGAAGGCAGCUUGCAGUAGCGUAACUGACGCUGAAGCUCGAAAGUGCGGGU
rnacentral:rRNA from 1 species